UUUUCUUGGUAUUCAGGUCGUUUUGUUUCCGGUUUUGGAAAGAGUAUACAGAAUAAAACAAUACUGACAUUGUUUAUUUGUUUUUUUUUAACGAAUUUUUGUUGGUCUUUUAGACCAUUUUAUUAAUAAGAAACCCAUUAGCCAAAUUUACAAAACUCCAAAGCACAAAAGGACCUGGUCCAAAAAUUGGAAAUUGAAAAGGUUUCCUAAUUUUGCUAUUAGAUAAAAGGCUAAUACAAGAGCACUAAGUACUCUUUCUUGAAGCUCGUCGCCGACUUCAACUAUGUUGCCGAUGGAACGCCCAGCUAUGUGUCUUCCUCCUUUGAGCGAUGUUUCGAGUGAAUCCAUGGCUACUGUUGCUGCUGCUCUGCUUAUGUACUUCACUUUCAUCAGGUGUUUUGCUCUGAUGGAUUCCAGUGAAAAUUGGCGUACUCAGCUCACUCCUAGUCAUACUGGUGGUGAGAACGAAGUAGCUGGUGUGGAUAAUGGAGAAGAGUAGCAUAACUCGAGCAAGAGAAGAUCAAGCUCUAAGGUGUGAUGAAGAUUUUGAUAAUUUCUUUUUUAACCACAUGAUAUGAUUAGAAGAUCGACAUCUAGGCAAUGAUGAAAUUUUGCGACUGUUAAAUGUUAUUAGUGAACCUGCAAAUUUUCUGG